rnacentral:rRNA from 1 species
UGGGGAAUUUUGGACAAUGGGGGCAAGCCUGAUCCAGCCAUUCCGCGUGAGUGAAGAAGGCCUUCGGGUUGUAAAGCUCUUUCAGCUGGAGUGAAACGGUUCGCUCUAACAUAGUGAGCUAAUGACGGUACCAGCAGAAGAAGCACCGGCUAACUACGUGCCAGCAGCCGCGGUAAUACGUAGGGUGCGAGCGUUAAUCGGAAUUACUGGGCGUAAAGCGUGCGCAGGCGGAUUGUUAAGCAAGACGUGAAAUCCCCGGGCUUAACCUGGGAAUGGCGUUUUGAACUGGCAGUCUAGAGUGCGUCAGAGGGGGGUGGAAUUCCACGUGUAGCAGUGAAAUGCGUAGAGAUGUGGAGGAACACCAAUGGCGAAGGCAGCCCCCUGGGAUGACACUGACGCUCAUGUACGAAAGCGUGGGUAGCAAACAGGAUUAGAUACCCUGGUAGUCCACGCCCUAAACGAUGUCAACUGGUUGUUGGGGGAGUGAAAUCCCUUAGUAACGAAGCUAACGCGUGAAGUUGACCGCCUGGGGAGUACGGUCGCAAGAUUA